UACGUAGGUGACAAGCGUUAUCCGGAUUUACUGGGCGUAAAGAGCGCGCAGGCGGUCGUUCAAGUCGAGUGUGAAAGCCCCCGGCUCAACUGGGGAGGGUCAUUCGAUACUGAUCGACUCGAAGGCAGGAGAGGGAAGUGGAAUUCCCGGUGUAGUGGUGAAAUGCGUAGAUAUAUGGAAGAACAUCAAUAACGGCGAAGGCAGUUAACUAUUCUGUUACUGACGUUGAGGCACGAAAGCGUGGGGAGCAAAACGG
rnacentral:rRNA from 1 species